CCUACGGGGGGCAGCAGUGAGGAAUAUUGGUCAAUGGGCGGAAGCCUGAACCAGCCAAGUAGCGUGCAGGAUGACGGCCCUACGGGUUGUAAACUGCUUUUAUACGGGAAUAACGCGCCUUAUGUGUAGGGCUUUGCAUGUACCGUAUGAAUAAGGACCGGCUAAUUCCGUGCCAGCAGCCGCGGUAAUACGGAGGGUCCGGGCGUUAUCCGGAUUUAUUGGGUUUAAAGGGAGCGUAGGCGGCUUGUCAAGCGUGCUGUGAAAGGUCGGGGCUCAACCCGGGCAUUGCAGUGGGUACUGGCAUGCUUGAGUACAGGAGAGGUAGGCGGAAUUCGUGGUGUAGCGGUGAAAUGCUUAGAUAUGACGAAGAACCCCGAUUGCGAAGGCAGCUUGCUGGAGCGUAACUGACGCUGAUGCUCGAAAGCGUGGGUAUCGAACAGGAUUAGAUACCCUUGUAGUC
rnacentral:rRNA from 1 species